AUAAAAAGCCAGUGUUGGGAUGUUGCCUCCCAGGGCUGAGCAGAGAGGUUGCCUUCCUCACCGUGCUGGCAGUGUUUAAAAAGAUGAAGAAGGCUGACGUGCUUGAAUGCCCUAUCUCGGGCACAGCUGCUUCAGUGAAGGGGCUUCUUACCCUCUGUACUGUCGCUGCCUGCAGUUCCCUGCAACCAGAUGUGAUGGCUUCAGGGGAGGUUUCUUCCCUGGGCUCGUGGAGGGCUUGUGAGCUCUCACUCAGCAGGAAUCUGCCCCGUGGGAAAAGCAGAGCUGGAGAGAGGGGAACAGACUGAUGUUUGUGGGUAACACAUCUGAAAGCACCUGCCUUCAACCUCAGAAAUCCCAUUUGUUCACAUCUUUUGGACAAAGCAACUGCAACUUUAGUCACCUUCCCCAAGACUAAUUCAGGAAACGGAGCUGCAGGGAGGCUCUCAGCGACGCCGAGCCGGUGCUGAGCGCGGACGUGCGGCUGACCCGGGGCCGCAAGAGGAGCGAGAGGCGCCUGCUCCUCCUCCACAAGGAACUGGUGGUCGCCAAGUUGC